rnacentral:rRNA from 1 species
UACGAAGGUCCCGAGCGUUGUUCGGAAUCACUGGGCGUAAAGGGCGCGUAGGCGGCGCGGUAAGUCAGAUGUGAAAUCCCGGGGCUCAACCCCGGAACUGCAUCCGAUACUGCCGUGCUAGAGGACUGGAGAGGCAACUGGAAUUCUCGGUGUAGCAGUGAAAUGCGUGGAUAUCGAGAGGAACACUCGUGGCGAAAGCGAGUUGCUGGACAGUAUCUGACGCUGAGGCUCGAAGGCCAGGGGAGCAAACGGG